rnacentral:rRNA from 1 species
AUUGAACGCUGGCGGCAGGCCUAACACAUGCAAGUCGAACGGUAACAGGAAGAAGGUUCCUUCUUUGCUGACGAGUGGCGGACGGGUGAGCAAUGUCUGGGAAACUGCCUGAUGGAGGGGGCUAACUACUGGAAACGGUAGCUAAUACCGCAUAACGUCGCAAGAUCAAAGCGGAGUAACUCCUGGCCUCACGCCAUCGACUCCGCCAAGAUGGGAUUGGCUCGCAGGUGGGGUAAUGGCUCAUCUAGGCGACGAUUGCUAGCUGGUCUGAGAGGAUGACCGGCCACACGGGAAGUGAGACACAGUCCAGACUCCGAAGGGAGGCAGCAGUGGAGAAUAUUGCACGAUGGAGGAGAGCCUGAUGCAGCCAUGCCGAGUGUAUGAAGAAGGCGUUCGGGUGGUAAAGUACUUUAAGCGGGGAGGAAGGAAGUAAAGUUAAUACCUUUACUUAUUGACGUUACCCGAAGAAGAAGCACCGGCUAACUACGUG